GACGAACGCUGGCGGCGUGCUUAACACAUGCAAGUCGAGCGGUAAGGCCCUUUCGGGGGUACACGAGCGGCGAACGGGUGAGUAACACGUGGGUGACCUGCCUUUAGCUCUGGGAUAAGCCUGGGAAACUGGGGUCUAAUACCGGAUACGACUCCGCGGUGCAUGCUGUGGGGUGGAAAGCCUUGUGCGGCUGGAGAUGGGCCCGCGGCCUAUCAGCUUGUUGGUGGGGUGAUGGCCUACCAAGGCGACGACGGGUAGCCGGCCUGAGAGGGCGACCGGCCACACUGGGACUGAGACACGGCCCAGACUCCUACGGGAGGCAGCAGUGGGGAAUCUUGCGCAAUGGGCGAAAGCCUGACGCAGCGACGCCGCGUGAGGGAUGACGGCCUU
rnacentral:rRNA from 1 species